UGCACAAUGUGUCAAUUAUGUUACUAUAAAAUUAAAUUAAAUUAUUGUAUUAAAUUUGUAUUCCUGUUUUUGGAUUGUAAGAAUAUUGGUUAUAUGUAGAUAAUAUUGAUAUAACUACUAAAAAGGAUCUGGAGCUAAACAACAAUUAUGCAAAAUGGAAAAUAAUUUCUACAUAACGUGUUAGACGGAGUCAUUUUUUCUUAUAACGCGGAAUUAAUCUACCGUGCCGUAGGGGCGAUUGCUGUAAUUCAUGUUCCCUAAGUCAGCAUUUUAUCCCGUUUGGUCCAACGAUGGCACAACAAACAAGUAUAUUGUAAAAUGUUAUUUCCAAGCUCCAGUUUUUAACUGUCAAAAAGGGGCCAAUUAGCCAGCCGUUUGUGUAAUAUGCUGUUAAGUGUGGCAGACCAUAACUCCUGUAUUGUGUGCCGUUGAUGCAUGCGGAUAGUUGCGACGCGUUCGAAUAAUUUCGACUGCCCAACUGAUGAAUGUGCGGUAUUCUGCCGUCUGGUAUGAGUUUGUUUGUAUUUAAUUUGAGUUAUUGAAUACAUGAAAUGAUUUUUGAUGUCACUGACAAGACAGCCGCGGUUUUGGGGUUAGCAAAGGACUACUUUGAAACUUCUGCACCGAACGUUUAGGAGUCUGCAUAAAUCUUGAAAUAACAAGAAACUCAUCUUAAUGGACUGUUUGUUGAUUCAAACAAUCUUAGGGAUAGUCUGACCAGUUGUUGUUGGAGAUCUUAAUUGCUGCGUAAAAGCCAUGGUUUCUGUAAGCAUCACUUGACAGGGAUGCAUCGUCAACGUAAAAUUGACCUUAGCCUAGUCCAUGCCUGAAUAAUAAUUUGAUUUUUCAUUUUCAUUUAAAUGUAAUUUUAAUACUUUUUAUUUUGAUCUGUAUUUAGUUUAAUUAAUCUAAAUUUUUAUACCUUACUUCACAUGUGUUAUGAUGUAGUAUUAUGUUUGUGCGAUUGUAUGUAAUACCCAGAGGGACUUAAAAUAUGCCGAACAAUUCAUAAUCACACUCUGGAUCUAGCAUAUAAUUUCCUGAACAUACGUCCGCCUUACAUUUUAGGUUUAUCAUGAACAAGACUUAAAAAAAGGGAUAAAACCAAAUUGCCAUAUUUUAUAAUAUCGGCGGGGGUUGAAUGAUUUUUGCCAUCGUUGCAGGAAUUGUGCUUUAUGAGUAAUGAACAACAAACCAAGAAAGCAAAGGUAUUCCCACCUAUAAGUGUUCUUUGAUCGACUUGGCCCAUUUUCAACACUAAUCUGCGUUCAAGAACUUUCAAUAUUUUUACCAAGUUUGAAAUGGAAUGUCUUCAUUUAAAGAUUUUGAAGUCAAAUUCAUGUAUACUUUAUGGAGUCUCUGAAACUUCCUUCUGGGAAUUAUGAAAGUUUUCGACAAAAAAAUGAAAUCUUGUCGAAGUUCUUUAAAUUUGUGAAAUAAGGUUUUUUGCGGAAGAUAAGGUUAAUAGAAAAAGGAAAUCCGCCUGAGUGGCCGAGUAGGCAAGAGUCUCGACUAGCAACUCAAUAGU